rnacentral:rRNA from 1 species
UCGAGCGGACCGACGGGAGCUUGCUCCCUUAGGUCAGCGGCGGACGGGUGAGUAACACGUGGGUAACCUGCCUGUAAGACUGGGAUAACUCCGGGAAACCGGGGCUAAUACCGGAUGCUUGAUUGAACCGCAGGUUCAAUUAUAAAAGGUGGCUUUUAGCUACCACUUACAGAUGGACCCGCGGCGCAUAGCUAGUUGGUGAGGUAACGGCUCACCAAGGCGACCAUUCGUAGCCCACCUGAGAGGGUGAUCGGCCACACUGGGACUGAAACACGGCCCAGACUCCUACGGGAGGCAGCAGUAGGGAAUCUUCCGCAAUGGACGAAAGUCUGACGGAACAACGCCCCGUGAGUGAUGAAGGUUUUCGGAUCGUAAAACUCUUUUGUUAGGGAAGAACAAGUACCGUUCGAAUAGGGCGGUACCUUGACGGUACCUAACCAGAAAGCCACGGCUAACUACCUGCCA